CAUGCAAGUCGAGGGGUAUAGUUCUUCGGAGCUAGAGACCGGCGCACGGGUGCGUAACGCGUAUGCAAUCUACCUUUUACAGAGGGAUAGCCCAGAGAAAUUUGGAUUAAUACCUCAUAGUAUGUGAGAAUCGCAUGGUUUUCACAUUAAAGUCACAACGGUAAAAGAUGAGCAUGCGUCCCAUUAGCUAGAUGGUAAGGUAACGGCUUACCAUGGCAACGAUGGGUAGGGGUCCUGAGAGGGAGAUCCCCCACACUGGUACUGAGACACGGACCAGACUCCUACGGGAGGCAGCAGUGAGGAAUAUUGGACAAUGGGCGCAAGCCUGAUCCAGCCAUGCCGCGUGCAGGAUGACGGUCCUAUGGAUUGUAAACUGCUUUUGUACAGGAAGAAACACUCCCUCGUGAGGGAGCUUGACGGUACUGUAAGAAUAAGGAUCGGCUAACUCCGUGCCAGCAGCCGCGGUAAUACGGAGGAUCCAAGCGUUAUCCGGAAUCAUUGGGUUUAAAGGGUCCGUAGGCGGUUUAAUAAGUCAGUGGUGAAAGCCCAUCGCUCAACGGUGGAACGGCCAUUGAUACUGUUAAACUUGAAUUAUUAGGAAGUAACUAGAAUAUGUAGUGUAGCGGUGAAAUGCUUAGAGAUUACAUGGAAUACCAAUUGCGAAGGCAGGUUACUACUAAUGGAUUGACGCUGAUGGACGAAAGCGUGGGUAGCGAACAGGAUUAGAUACCCUGGUAGUCCACGCCGUANACGAUGGAUACUAGCUGUUGGGAGCAAUCUCAGUGGCUAAGCGAAAGUGAUAAGUAUCCCACCUGGGGAGUACGUUCGCAAGAAUGAAACUCAAAGGAAUUGACGGGGGCCCGCACAAGCGGUGGAGCAUGUGGUUUAAUUCGAUGAUACGCGAGGAACCUUACCAAGGCUUAAAUGUAGUUUGACCGAUUU
rnacentral:rRNA from 1 species